AUCAUCGUGAAAGAUGUGUGUAACCUCUGUGGUACGGAACUGGGUAGAAUUUAAGUAGCAGCCAUAUAGUCUAGCUGGGAACUUCUUUUAAAAGCAUUUUUAUACAGAUCCAUUACCAAUGACUUUGAAGAGACUGUGCUUUGGUCUUUGCUGCAAAGGGAACAAAGUGUUAUGAGUUUGACCUCUAAGGAGAACCUGUUCCUUUGCCUGCUCCCAUGUUGCGUUGAUCCCGAAUAAUUGCCUUAAUAGCAGUCCUGGUGUAAACAAUGAGUAGUUUUCUGUCACUCGAGUAAUGAAGUUACAUGUAUUUUUGCUGUGAAAGAAUUUAUCCCACAGCUCAGUGUUGUCUCCCCAGGAUGAGGAAGCUCCUUGCUCUGAGCCUGGGCAGUAUCAGCUGGCACCUCCCAGGAAAAAAUAAUUAGGUGAGAAGACGGGAGAGAGCAGAGGUUUGGGGAAAUAAAUUCCUUAUGGUAUCAGAGCAGUUACUUCUGUUAGACAAGAAAAUAACAGCUUAUUGCUUGCAUUGCAGGCUGCAAUUCCAACAAAAUGUCAUGUGGUUUCUCUUUGUCUAGGCUCCUUUAGUAACACCCAGUGUGAUUUCCCCUUUUACCGACGAGUGGUUCUCUAGCUUAGGAUGAUUCUCUUCAGUUGAUCAUAUAUAAAUUGUAUGGGUCUUGCUUAGAAAAAGUCAGCAGCAUCUUUCUCUUCUCUCCCCAUCCCAGGCUAUUUUGUGACCAAAUACAGACCACUUCUUGCUUCCCCCAUGACAAUUUUCUAUUAAUUUACAACGGUUUACAUUUCUCAAUUUCCAGUGGUACAUGAGAAGCUAACAGAAUUUGUAAGGUCAGAAAAGAGUAGUUUAUGAACCAGAGGUGCAGGUUCAAGAAUAAGAAGCACAUCAUCCCAGCUCAGCAAAAUGAGCAUUCAUGCUACCAGAUCCUUAGGAGCCUUUUUUUCCCUUUCUUUGUAUUUUUAAAUACACAUGAAGGGCUUUGAAUGACCUGGCAUGCAAGCCUGGGCUUCAGCCCUGUCUUUGUGCAAGUGCAUUGCUGAUGGUGAGAAAUGAAUUUGUGACACCUGCAAGCUUGUCUGAGAGUUUUAUGUAGGUAUUUACCCUUUGGCAAAAAGCAAGUAAGAAGAUUCUAGUGCAAAAAUAAACAGCCCAAACAGGAAACCAUUACAAAACUUUUUAGUUGAAUGAGUGAUUUGAAAGAUAGCAGUAAGUGGCAAAAUGUGUACAUUUGGGUCAUAAAUUCUCAGUAAUGUGGAGCUCUAAACAGUUAGCAAAAUUCACCACAUCUUUAUAAAUUGUGGAAAGUAUACUUAAAGUAUAUAUAUGUAUUUUCUACCGUGCAGUAGUUUCAUAUGGUUCUAUCUACUGCAUACAGGCAAUUUGCAUGUGAUUUAGUGCGAUAUUUAUGCCAAGAAUUUCAUCAUUUCAUGUUGGUCUAAGUAAAUGAAGUAGUGCUGGAAAUCCUUUUCAUUAUUAAUACCACUAGAAGUAAUGAUUUUUGCAUACUAAGUUGCAGGUUUUCAGCAAGCAGAUCCCUAGAUAAUGUAAUACGUUUGACCUUCAUGCUUAGCAGGGUGAAUUCUGACAGUCUAUCUGUUGUGUAAUUGCCUUUUGAUUAUUAUUCACAAACCCUGGUAUUGUUUAAUGGGCAGGUUAGUAUCUUGCUUGUGAGCUUUGGUUCAUAACCGCAGCUCCGCUAAACAUUGCACUAUUUUGUCCUUAGUGAAAUCACCAUAGUAACAUUGCAGGGAAAAUAGCGUGCCUUGUAUUUUUAUCCUAUGCUGAAAUAUCAGGGCGGGCUAAUAUUUUUCUUACUUUUGUCCACCUCUCAUCUUUAACACUUGCAGUGGCUGGAGGAGGUUGUGCCUUUGGCUUCAAGAUGAUUGCAUUUUCUCCUGGAGAUAUGUAUACGGCUCGUCUGUGCAAGACCCCGUGAUGCUCAUGGAGUGUGGGAGCAUGUCAUGUAACUGUUCUUUACACCACUCUGCUUGUGAUCCCUUGUGCUGACAGCUAUGAGCAAGAUGAAAGAUAGUCCUUGCUUCAAACAACUGGUUCAAACGCGUAAACAGCACAAACUAUGUUCUUGCACCCAGUGCUGCAUAUGGUGACCAAGAGUAUCCUUGUUCUGGGAAGAGCAAGGUCUGGGAUCAGUCAGCCAAUCCCAGUAAUGUGGUAACUGGUGCACACAGGUGCUGAGUGACUUUCCCCAUUUCCCAUCUGUGUGGCUUUGACAUGGGUUUCCCUGCUUGCUAAAGCAUGCUCUGCUGUUAUGUGAAAUGAGAGCGAGCUCUUGUUCAAUAAUGCAUUGAUAAGUUAAA